AUGUCUGCGCAAGGACGGCACAAGGCGGCUCACCGUGACGCGACGUCCUCGCCGGCGGAUCGUGGACGGAUGGGCUGGGCGGCGACGUUGGUGUUCGCACUCGCGGCGUGUUGGCGGGGGCGCUCGCGGUGGCGUUCGCGGCGCCGUUGUGGUGACGCUCGUGGCUGUGUUGGUGGGUGCGCUCGCGGUGGCGUUCGCGGCGCCGUUGUGGUGACGCUCGUGGCUGUGUUGGUGGGUGCGCUCGCGGUGGCGUUCGCGGCGCCGUUGUUGGUGACGCUCGUCGCUGUGUUGGUGGUGCCGCUCGCGGCGGCUGCUGCAACGAGCAAAUCGAAAUGGCCACUGAGUAUGCAAAUGGCCCUGACUUUCGUGGGAUUUAGCAGGAGAUUUGCGGGCAUUUUCGUAGCCCUGUUCUUAGAGUGUGUACAGAAGGAUUGGACGCUGGGAGUUGGUUUCUAA
rnacentral:rRNA from 1 species